CCUACGGGUGGCAGCAGUGAGGAAUAUUGGUCAAUGGACGAGAGCCUGAACCAGCCAAGCAGCGUGAAGGAUGACUGCCCUAUGGGUUGUAAACUUCUUUUAUAUGGGAAUAAAAUGUCUUACGUGUGGGAUUUUGUAUGUACCAUACGAAUAAGGAUCGGCUAACUCCGUGCCAGCAGCCGCGGUAAUACGGAGGAUCCGAGCGUUAUCCGGAUUUAUUGGGUUUAAAGGGAGCGUAGGUGGUUUGUUAAGUCAGUUGUGAAAGAUUGCGGCUCAACCGUAAAAUUGCAGUUGAUACUGGCAGUCUUGAGUACAGUAGAGGUGGGCGGAAUGCGUGGUGUAGCGGUGAAAUGCUUAGAUAUCACGAAGAACUCCGAUUGCGAAGGCAGUUCACUGGACUGCAACUGACACUGAGGCUCGAAAGUGUGGGUAUCAAACAGGAUUAGAUACCCGGGUAGUC
rnacentral:rRNA from 1 species